ensembl:lncRNA
CGUGGGACUUGGCAAGCCCAGGGAAUAGUGCUGAAGGGAAGAAAGCCCCUGGAGGGGCCUCCCGGGCGGCUGCAGGCAACCCUGCUCUUUUCAUUGGCCCCAUGUGACGCCCACAAGGGAGCAGGCCUCGAAGGCCUUGUAAAUGAGUGUUUGCAGGGCCCCUCCCUGACUACAGCCCAUAUGUCAGGACACACACCUCCGGACUGCUAAAUGGCUGAGAAAAGGACAACCGUUUUCCGUGUUGGUACGACAUGCAGCAUUGGCCAGUCAAGGAUUGAGAUCAGUCAGAGUGACAGUUUCUGGGGAAACCCUCAAUACCUUUAAGGGGAGAUCAAGGACUCUAUUGAGUUGCAGAGAAGUUACUGAAGCCAUUCAUCCAUUUGGCCAACAGCCAUCAACGCAGGCCAAGGGUGUACAUGGUAAACAACCGAGAGAUAGGAAAAAGGGAUACUGGUAGAGAUGCAAGUGGUUUCUCUCUGACUGGGCCCCUAACAAGUGGCAACCCCAAGAUCCUGCCGUCCAUCCAGCAGUUUGGGGAGGCAGGCAGCAAACAAACUCAUAAAGAGUAGAAUGUGAGAUGAUGCCUCAUAAACAGAGAACUGGUUCCCGGAUAGCCAUGAUGGCAAAAGCAAGCCAGGCAGCUGGCUUUCCUGAGGAGGCACAUGGUGGCUCUGUCGGGGCCAUCAAAGUUGUCUCAGGGCUUCCGUCCACUGGAGACUGCUGCAAGCUGACAAUUUCAAAUCCAUUUGCAUCCACUUAGCUUUCCAGAGACCAAGGCAUUUUUCAGCUACAGCAAACAACACAUGAAUGUGAAGCUCGGAGCAGGCAGCACAGGGCAAAAAAGGAUUGGGAAGUCUCUGGGGCUGCUGCUAACUUGUCUUGAAAAAUCAAAAUGAACUUUUUUCUUCAAAGAUUCUGCUUCAAUUCAUCAUCAUUAUAAAAACACUCAAGUCCUUGAGGUCUGAGGCUGCAGUGAAUGCAUACAAAAUGGGUUUUCUGCAGGGGAAAAAACAUAUAAUAAUGUCCUAAAGCUCUUCUUUUGAGCUAUGGGCAGCAGGGAAGUCUGGUUUGAAAUCCAACCUUCACCUCCACUGAGCAAAUUUUGUUAAUUAGGAUGUGUUUGCCCUCCUUAAGGCACCUUCUUUCUCAGGAGAUUUGUAUCUGGGGAGGGCCUUUCCGAAAGGUAGAACAUCUUUAAUUAUUCAAACUGCUGGACCCUGGAGCAUGAUAUCCCCUUUGCCAGCUGUCAUUGGCACCCCAAAAGUAACACAGACUUCAUUAGUGUAUCAUGGAAACUCUAUUAUAGAUGGGGGCUGGGGGUUGUUAACCUGGUUUAUUAGUGUAACACUUCAGGUCCAUAUGGUAAAAGGGCUUCUGUGGGCUGGGCUGAGACUCACCAGGCAUGAUAGUGUUUCUUAGGAAAGUAAGUUCUGAUUUCCAAGUGGCUGCCUUUGAAUCUGGAAUGCAAGCCAUUUCUAAGAAGGAAAAUGCCCUGAAAUAUUAGAUGCAUGUUUUUUCCCAUUAUUUCAGAGGUGAGGAAUGCAGUUAUCUUGAACUUCCUUUAGAUAGAUGGUUUCCUUUUCUCCUUCUCCCCCUUCUUCCUCUUUCCCCACCUCCAUGCCAUUUUAUGAGCUGAUAAACCAUUAGUAGUUAACAUGGACUUCUCAGAAGGCAGUCAAGGAUAAACUUUGCCAGAAAGGGCUGAUUCAGGUGGGGUUACAUGACAGGCUCUGUAGUCCCGAGGGACACUUUUCCAGACUUGAGCAUAAUAUGAAUUCAGGGAGGCAAGAAAGAAGAGUCACAAGAUGAGCCCUCAGGACAUCCUUGCAUAAACCCCCAAAGUCAGGGGCUUAAGAAAGAGAUGUGAGGAAGAAGAUAAGAUCCAGAAGCAAAGAAAUUUGUUAGAGACAGACUGGCAAAGACAGAAGACCAUAGCAAGGACAAUUCUGAGUCCAGCAGUGGACCAGGUACAAUGACAGCCAGCUCUCCCUACCCAUGGGUUCCAUAUCAGUGGCUCCCACCAUCCAUGGACAGAGAAUACUCAGCAAAAAUAUUACAUCUCUACUGAAUGUGUACAGACUUCUAUUCUUUAUCAUUAUUUGCUAAAUAAUAUAAUAUAAAAACUCUCUACAUAGCACUUACAUUGUAUUAGGGUAGAAGUAAUCUAGAGAUAAUUUAAAGCAUACAAGAGAAUGUACAUAGACUAUAUGAAAAUACUAUUCCAUUUUAUAUUGGGACUUCAGCAUUUGCAGAUUUUGGUAUCUUCAGGGAUCGUAGAGCCUGUUCCCCAUAGAUACCAAGGGGUGACUAUACUUGAUGAGUUUUGGAUAGGCCCAAGUGAAAAGCAAACAUAGAUUAUGAACAACUCCUUUCACAGUGAAAAUCAAAAGGCUACUCUCCUUCCUCCAGAGGACAAUGAAUUCCCCCCCCUUAGAGCCAAGUGGUGCAAGCUUGGUAGCCCCUUCCUAGGUCUACUGGAGAGAAGGUAGCAGUCAGGCCAAGAUCCAGUAUGCCCUGGAACUCCCUGCUAGAGGUGCUCAUGACACCUUCCCUCCAUGAAAUGUGGUCAAUGUCAGAAUAGACAAGUAGGGAGAGAAACACCUCACUUCCAUCCUGGUAUGCAGAGGCCAUACUGAAAACCACUAGCAAUCUCAGCAACACAGCACUGGCCCAACCGAUGGAUAUGAUCACAGGCAUAGCCAGCCUCACACAAGGCCCACAGGCUAAAGACCACCUCUGCAUAGCUGUGUCAGUCAGUAAAGCAUCUUUCAAGAUUAAACAAGAAAAUACAUUAGUGAAGGAUGUAUGAUGCCUUCGUAUAAGACUUUACAUUCAAUCAUUAUUAUAAUCUUGUGUAGGACACACUUUCUAAGCAUGAGACCUGUGCAGUGAUAUGGGACACCACAAACCUAAAGGGACCCCACUUGUGGCUAAUGCUCUGCUAUCACUUUCCCGAUAUUCUUUAUUUCAGAACAAAGAGCCUGCAUUUUCUUUUCUUUUCUUUUUUGGGGCAGAGGGAGUACUGGAGAUCGAACUCAGGACCUUGCACUUGGGAGUCAGGUGCAGUGCCACUGAGCUAAAUCCCUAGCCCUGCAUUUUCAUUUUGUAUUGGAGUCUACAAAAUAUGUUGUUGGUCCUUGUCCAAUGGGGGAAAAAACACAGGUGUUACCAACUGCCCCAUUUACAGAUCCAGAAAAAGAGGAUUAAGCAGGUUAAACGGCUUCCCUAGGCUCACCUCACUAGUAAGCAGCUAACUCCAGCUCCAGACCUCACACUUCCUGUGUUAGAUAGCUUUGUGCCACUGGGACAAAAUGCCCGAACAAAAAACAACUUAACAGAGGAAAAAUCUAUGUUGACUCAUGGUUUCAGAGGUCUCAGUUCAUGGUCACUUGGCUGCCCCCAACAGGAGCUGUCCAAACUGGGCCAGACUGGACCAAGCUGGGCCAGUCAGAUUUUCUUUCCCGGGAAUCUGGAAUUGGCAUCCAGCCAACAAGGGGCAAAAGAAACAGCUGGAGCAGUUGUUGAAACAGAGGAAGGGUAGAUUCGGGCAUAGGACAGUCAUGUAAUAACAUUUGCAUCUCCUAUCCUUUCUCCCCACACUCCAAAUUUAUGACUCCCAGAAACAUAGCUAGAGGAAAAGGUCAGGGUCUACCAUAUUGCCAGGAGAUAAUAAUCCAGACAUUUUAGGGGAAACUUCCUUAUGUGAUCUCACUUGUGGCUGAAAACCUACCAGACCUGCUGGUCAUGGGAGUUACAUGAGGAUGGACAGCUGUGAUUGCUAACAUUUCUUAUUCAUGCUGCUACUAUUGUUUAAUCUGUAUAAAUAUAUGUAGCACUUCCUAUAUUCCAGAUACUAAUCUAAGUGCUUUACAUAUAUCAAUUCAUUUAAUUUUCCUAAAAGCCUAUAAAAUAGGUAUUACUAUCAUCAUUCCUGGUCUAUAAGUAAAGAAGCUAAGGCACAAAGAAGUUAUGUACCCCACCCAAAAUCACACAGCUCAUAUGUGGUAGAGCCAGGCUUUGAACUCAACAGCCUGACUGCAAGCAAAGUCUGAAUUCUUAACAUUCACCAACUACCUCUCGAAAUAUUAUCCUGGCUGGUCUGAAAUAAAUAACAUGCAAUUUCCACUUCUCAGUUUAAUUUUACCUAAUCACAAUGCAAUGUUUUAAAAAUGUUGCUUAUUUAGAAUCAAAAAAGCCUCUGAGCAGUCAAAAUAAAAUGACAAUGCAAAAGCAUGAGCACUCAGUCCCUAAGAUUUUCACUCAACCCUCAUUUACUCACAUUCUCUCUCCCUCUCCUCUUCUUCUUUUUACAUGUAAAAAAGAAUCUAGGGUAGAGUUUCACCUAGGAUGUGGACCAUUAUCUGUAUCCAAAUGAUCCAAAAUGUAUCACUUCCUCUCAGGUACAGCUUUCAAUCUGUCCACUUGGGGUUCUGCAUAUCCGCAAUUUUGAUCCCAAGGAAGGAUCACACUACAGGGUCUUACCCUUUCCUACCAGCUGGUGUGUGCUCAGAACAUGCACAACUGGAGCCAAUAUACACAGGACUGUAGAAAUGGGCCCAAAAAACCACCCCAUGGGACUCUCAAAGUCAAAUAUAGAAAGUCAUUGGGGUCCUCUCUUCAGUUUGCCUUCUGCUAAGGGAAAGGAGUCAAACGCAUUCGGAACUCUCCGUCCCUUGUCUUGUAACCAUCCUCUUUCUCACUGAGCCCCUUUAGACUUUAGAUUCUCUAUUGAAUGCUUCACUCUUUCUUAAUUUUUGCUUUUUAAUCUAGCUAACUCUGGUGUAAUAUCAUCUUUGUUUUUAAAUACCUUGUUCUUAAAAGGCCUACAAUACGGUAUGUAUACAUAUAAACUUCCCUUAGUGAAUGUAUCCAUUAUCUAUAGCAAACAUGUACUAAUAAAAUAGUAAAAUAAGUAUAUAAAUACUUCCUUCUUAGUAAAGUGUAAAUUCUACCAUAUGUAAUAUAGUUCAUUCAGUAAAUAUUUUGAUCUAUGUAUUCUGUAUUUUAUUAUUAUGUACAGUAAAUAUAUUUAAUAAAAUUCUUUAAUUCAUAAAAUAGAUUCCUUACCCAAACUGCUAAUAGAGUUGUGAUUUGGGUUCUCCAGAAAAUGGUCAUGGUGUUGGUUCUCCCCUGUCAGCAUCUCACUCUUAGCAGAUGCUUUAAAAUAUUCUUAUUUGAAUUGACUUGCUAGGCUAGGUAGCUUUCAAGAACUGGGUGUGUGUAGUUUCAGUCCAUCUGUCUACUCAGCAAGGUCUUGGCAGCACUAACUCUUCCUUUACACCUAACACAUAUUUAUUAUUCUUUACACUUCUUUCCUUAAAUUCUGAAAUCUUUUUUUUUUUUUUGGUACUGGGGAUUGAACCCGGGUCCUUGAGCUUGCUAGGCAGGUGGUGAAACCACUGAGCUAAAUCCCCAGCCCCUUCUGAAAUCUUAAUUACUGGCAAUACCACCCUGAAUGACUCCU